rnacentral:lncRNA from 1 species
GACUUAGUAAUAAAUCAACAAUUACGGAUGUUCAGCACAUUAAGUUGGCCAGGUAUGUAUUAUGUACUUGUGUAGGCUUAUUAAGCCCAUCGAGACUUCACUUGGAUUUUGUGUAAGUUAUAAAUGUAUUUAAUCCAGCAAAGUUAAUUGUUUUACUUAAGACUUACUAAGCCUUGAAAGCUUACUCUGUUGUUACAUUUCUCUGUUUUAUAG